GCGUCGGUAGUGUAGGGGUUAUCAUUCAAGCCUUCCACUCCUUAGUAGAUUAGCUUGAGAUCCGAGUUCGAGUCUCGGCCGACGCA